UACGAAGGGGGCUAGCGUUGUUCGGAAUCACUGGGCGUAAAGGGCGCGUAGGCGGCUUUAUAAGUCGGGGGUGAAAGCCUGUGGCUCAACCACAGAAUUGCCUUCGAUACUGUAGAGCUUGAGACCGGAAGAGGUAAGUGGAACUGCGAGUGUAGAGGUGAAAUUCGUAGAUAUUCGCAAGAACACCAGUGGCGAAGGCGGCUUACUGGUCCGGUUCUGACGCUGAGGCGCGAAAGCUAGGGGAGCAAACGGG
rnacentral:rRNA from 1 species